rnacentral:lncRNA from 1 species
CCUGUUCUGCCACUGCCAUCUUCCUGAAGGGCAAGUUCCCCCUCGGAAAGAAGAACAACAGCAGCAGAAAGGAAGGGAAGGAGAGCCCUAGGCAGUUGCAUGCUCAGGUGUCAAUGACGGAGGAGGAGGAAGAGGAGGAGGAGCUGUCCUCCUUGUCAACAGUGGCAGAGACCUAGUAGAAGGGGAGUGUGUUGGCGAGGAGCAGCCUAGCCCCGUAGCAGUGGAGGCCAAGGUGCAGGCCAGGAAGACGAUCUGCCAGGGGUUGGUGCUGAUGAGCACAAUUUCCUGGACAUGGCUGUGGACCAGGCAAUCUACCAUGUGUGAACCACCCUGGACCAGCCCCUGACCUCCCCCUUCCCUCCCUGCCUGGCUAACCCACCCCACUCCAGCCCACCAUGUAGCCUCCAAGUUGAAAGCUUUGCCUGUGCCUGCUUAAACUGGUUGGUUCUUGUGCAGAGAGAAAGGAAAUAUUAAUUUCUACACUGAACAAAAAUAGACAUAUAAAGGUGUAAAAUUAACUUAUACGUGUGCAUGCCACUAACAAUUUGCUAGCCACAAUGUAUUUUCUACCGGCUGACUGUUAUGAAACCAUAAGGAAACUUGGAAUAUACAAAGGCAUUAUAGGUCUAUACUAUGGAUGAAUUGUUAAUAUGCCACUGAACUUCACCACUUUAAAAUAAGGGCAGAAUAUUGGGUAGCAGAAGAACAUCUAUGAUGUUCCAGUCUGGGCAUGUUAUUAUGCUCAGAGGAAUCUUUCAUGGACAUUUUUGCUCAUCCCCAGUAAAGCUGAAUUUCUAAUGUCAGUCAGCCUGCCUGCAAUUUGCACACUUAUUUUCUGAAUCAUACAUGCAGUAAGGAUUAAUUUCCUAGAAAAUGUGAAAUUAUAAAUUUGGUCUUGAGGCAACUAUAUAUUUAAAUUCACAGAGAGAGAUGGCAUAUCCUUAAACAGUACAGGAGAUGAAUAGUUAUAUAAAAAGAGCUAAAAUGUAUGCACAUUGGAGAAUAGGGAUAUUGUGAAAAUAUAAG